AAGAAAGCACAGCUCAACCUGGCUGGGAGGUGCACGUAGGACCUGGCAGCUAACCUGGAAAUUCAGCCAAUCAGACACAUCUGGGAGUGGCCUAUUAUCAUGGAAACAUUAACAACCUUAUUGCAGAAACCAGAGGUGCCAGCCCUUUGCAUACCCCAAGGCCUUUGCAAACAUCCAGCCCUUUGCAAACCCCCAGCCCUUUGCAAACCUUCAGCCCUUUUCAAAGGCCCAGCCCACAUUGCCUUUAAACUGCCCAUUUUGCAUACUCAUUCUUAUCCCUUUUGCCUACUUCCCCAUGUAAUCUUUGAUCUUCUACCCAAUAUAAGUAGCUGGCUUUGGGGGGAGGGAGGGAGAGAGAG